AAGGGAGACCUAAUUCAGGUAGGAGACGAAAAAAAAGUAGUCCCAACCAAGAAUCAAUCCCAAAAGGUCGGAGCGAGGCGAAAUUGGCUUUCAAACUAGGUUCUGGGUUCACACAAGACCUGAAUCAGGAACAAGGGCUAUUAGCUCAGGUGGUUAGAGCGCACCCCUGAUAAGGGUGAGGUCCCUGGUUCGAGUCCAGGAUGGCCCACCUGCACAGGUGGCAAAAACAAGAGAAGCUCCGAAUCAGCACCUUAUCUUAUCUAUAUAUAUAUAGGAGAGAAUGCUGGCUCUGAGUAAAGAGUCCAGAGGAACCUUGAAAACUGCAUAGAGCUAGGUGAAAAAGCCAAAAAAGAAGACCGCAA
rnacentral:tRNA from 1 species